CUCGGAGAUGAUGGCCACAUAGCCACUGCCACCAGCUCCGAGGCUUCCUUCCUGACACCGCUGCUGAAGCGCACCACCUCCACCAAGAGCGCGCUGCGGCGCGUCCCCUCCGUGGUGGUCAUUGAAAAGGGGAAGGUUCUGCAGAAGAGAAAGGAAUGGGAGCUGAAGUCUGCCAUGUAGCCGGCCCCUUCGUUGCCUUGCACUGUACAGAGCCCAGCUGACUGCGGCUGUGUCUAUACCGUGAACGCUGCGUGUGGACCAUGCAGGAGAAACGCUGUAUCGCUCUUUUGUUGUUUUUUACCGUAGUGAUCCAUGUUAGGAGAAUGCCUUUUGUCCUUUGAAACGGACGGGACUGUCAUAGGUUGUCGGUAGUGGCGGGAAGGGGGCCGGACUGGGUGGAGGUGGGCUCCCCUCCCAACGUGACCGGGUCUGGACUCUUCCCAACAGCAUAUCCCUCCGGUACUAUUUCCAGGGCGCCGAGUCCAAAGUGGCGUGCGAGCUCCUGAGCCACCAGCCUGCUCUUCCUUGCUGGUGGCAUGACAGAGGUGAGGCAGAGAGAGUUUCGUGGUCUGCAUGCACGGAACCUUUCUGCAGCAUAGAUACUGGGGCUGUUGAAUGCCUCCUGACGCAUGCGAUGAAAACUCCCGCAGGCAAACACGAACAGGGGGCACCCACGCUGCUAGACCCUACAGGCAGUGGAGGUGCAAAGGGGCUGUCUAGCUGUGUUUUCUUGAGUCCUUCAGAGUCUUUCAUGGCUCUCCUCCACUCGUCUUCAUAGCAAACAUCACAUUCCCGGGCUCCAGAGAGGUGGCUGCCCUAUUUUUGGUGUGAGAAUCACAAGCCGGGAUGGAAGGAUGCCGCUCUUUGAUAACAUCCCGUGCAUUUUGCAGCAGGGUAUGUCUGAUCUCAGCUGAGUGCUUCUAUCUGGGGGCGCCGGCCCUGCACCCAAGAGUCAAACGGGGAGGAGGCUUUUGGGAGGUGUGUGUGGACUUCGCGUGCUGGGACUGAAAGGAGAAGGGACGUUAGUGGGGACUAAGAAAUGUGGCAGCUGCUUUUAAAGUGGUCCGCAGUGAUCACAGGCUCUGCUAGGAGACACCGUCGUUUCAUUAGCCAUUUAGAAACAGGAAAUGCACUUCGUUUUGGAAACUAACCGUCCAGUAUCAGUGUCCAGUGAGCUAACACCCUGUGCAGGAUGUAGAUGCCGACCAGUGUAGUGAAUCAAGCACAGGGCAGGCAGUUCAGAGAGGAGGUUUUGUUCUCAGCAGUGCCACUCCACAACCUUGGACAAGUCUUUCCCCCUCUGCCUCCCUCGGCUUCUCCCUCUAUCAAACAGGCCUCAUGACGCUGGGCCACUUACCUAAAGCAAUUCGAUCCGCUGCUGGAAACAGCAACAGAGCAAGGGCAAAGUCUGGUUAGAAUCUAGGACUGGCAGAGACCUCAGGAGUCAUCGAGUCCAGCUCCCUGCCCAAAGCAGGGCCAACCCCAACUCAGUCAUCCACCCAGGGUUUGCCAAGCCGGGCCUUCAAAACCUCCAGGGAUGGAGAUUCCAACCCAACCCAGUGCUGGUUAGUCACUUUCUCCCAAGCUUGACAUCUCAGGUGCUCAGUGAAUAUUGACGGCCGAGGCCGACCGGCCGCAAAUGUCAUUACAGCAAGCGGCACAAGAGUGAGAAUAGUGUCAAAACAGGGACAGGGAUUGCAUUUAUCUUCACAAGGCACCCACUGAGCUCCAAGGUAAUAUGUUGUAAAUAAACUAGCGCCCUGUGUUCCACUAACCCCGUAGGAGCUGACGAGACUUUUUCAAAACACAGAGAACUCGUUAUUUAUGUUCUUCGGCCAAGUUGCGGACAACGGGAACCAAUGUCAUGUCACCAUAGUCAGUUGCAUUUUCCAGCUCUGAUCAGCAGUCAAAGCUGCCUGCAUAGGACCCUCCUGCAGUUGGGCCCAGUGUGACAGCAACCCCAGCACACCUGGGAUUGAAACGGACCCUCUGGAGCUAAAAUGCCGAGUUGCUUCUGCUGGGCCGCUAUAAGAGGUUCCCAUCCUCAGCAGAGCGUAGAGAGGGACUCACUGCACCAUCACCCUGUGGGUUUUACAGGGGCUUACUCAUGCAGACCGAAAUUACAGGAUCGGGGUAUGGGAACUUGACUGUAGCCUAAAGCAAGAGACAGUUGAUUUCCAUUGCAUAGUGCUGCAAAGUUUGGGUUGCAAACACUGUUGAAAAGCAACUUUUUGCAUCGGAUUUUGUUUUGUAAUUGUAGAAAUAUUUUUCUAAUGUUCUUGAGUUUUUUAAAAACAGGCUCUUACCAAAUUUUAAAUGGGGAGGAGGGAAAUGUUGACAGUGGGCCUUUAAAAGUCCAUUGUGUAACUCGUUAAUUCAGAAAGAUGUGGGGUUAUAUGGGGGGGGAUCUUCUUUGUUUGUUGUUGCUGGGUUUUGAGUUGUUUUUAACACAUUAUCAUGCCAAAUAAACAUUUCAAACCCCA